AUUGAACGCUGGCGGCAUGCCUUACACAUGCAAGUCGAACGGCAGCACGGGAGCAAUCCUGGUGGCGAGUGGCGAACGGGUGAGUAAUAUAUCGGAACGUGCCCAGUCGUGGGGAUAACGUAGCGAAAGCUACGCUAAUACCGCAUACUAUCUAUGGAUGAAAGCGGGGGAGUCGCAAGACCUCGCGCGAUUGGAGCGGCCGAUAUCAGAUUAGGUAGUUGGUGAGGUAAAGGCUCACCAAGCCGACGAUCUGUAGCUG
rnacentral:rRNA from 1 species